rnacentral:lncRNA from 1 species
AUAUUUAUAACUUUAGCCAUUGACAAGGAUGGGUCUGUAUUUAGGCAUGGAUGGAUCUGGUGCAUGUGGGAGUGUGUAGUCUGACAAGAAAAUAAGCAAUUUUUUUUUUACUGUGUCUUUCGAUAGGGAAAGUGUUCGUAUAGAUGUCCAUGCAUCUGCAUAUGUGUGAAUGCAGCUGUGUGUUCAUGUAAUGCAUGUGUGCUUGUGCAUAUAAUAAGCAGUCUUGGUCCAUUAACCAUUGUUAGGGUAAAGUGUUGUGCAUGCACAUCUAAUGUUGUUGCAUAUGUCCAUAUACACAUAAAAAGAUUGACUAUGCCUAUGGCGUGACUAUUCAAUUACAUUGCAUUGAUGGAAACCACUUAAAUCCACUUUUGAUGUUUUUUUAUGCAUGUAUUUGUGUUCUUUAACUUUUGAAUACUUAAAACUUUUUUUAAGUAUUAUUAUGCUUUUUUUUUUGAUAAAUAAAACUCAUUCCAAACUCUUUUAAGCAUUAUUAUGUUAAUUUUUUUAUGAUCAGCCCUGGUGUUUACUGACUAAUUGGUUAUAAUUUCCAUUUUUGGUUUGCCAGUAAUGGCUGCUAGCCUCCUCUUACAGAUGUUUGAGGCACUGUCUAGAGCUUAAUUGAUAAGAACUCUCUACCUGCAUGGUAUGUGUGAGAAAAUAUCCACAAUAUUGAGCUCAGGAUCUAUUCACAAACACUCACUUUUACAUUAAAUUAUAAUCUGAAAUGAAACUUCUAUUGUCCUCAAGCAAUAAUCUUCUUUUUUUUUGCACUGUUUUUUAUUAUGGCAUGAAACUGAAAUGUUUCACAUGAAAUGUUAAUUUCACUUCUGCUAGAAGGUGACUCCUAUUUUAUCAAUCCUUAGUUGACUGCUAAUAGCAAUUUUGCGAAUGAGGCGUGUAUUAUUGUGGUAUGCUCUGGAUUUUGUUGGGAAGCUAGGACUCAGGGCUCUGUAUUAUUACCUCUUCAAGUUCUAUAAUUGAUUUUCUUAUUCAUUGAAUGUUUGUUUGGAAUAAUUUCAACAUGCUGUUGUUUUUUUGCCUUACUUUUUGCAUAAGCUAUCCUUUGGUCUCAUACUGUGCUAUUCAGGAGUCU